UGAAACAAAAGGUCUUGAGCCCUGGCUGA
rnacentral:sRNA from 1 species